rnacentral:tRNA from 1 species
GCCUUAGUAGUAUAAUCAAUACACUGGUCUUGUAAACCAGAAAUGGAGACAUACAUCCCCCUAAGACA